rnacentral:misc_RNA from 1 species
AUCGAAGCCUCCUUGCCAAUUUCCCUGAUUAUUGUGCAGGGUGGAUGUUGGCCUCCCGUGAGCUCUUUCGUCUCAUGGUUGGUUGAAAAUUGAGACCUUGGUAGGGUGUGCCAUGAUAGAUGGUGGUUGUGUGACCCACGAGACCAAUCAUGCGCUGCUCUAUUGAAUUUGGCCUCCUUUACCCAUAUGCGUUUCCAAACGCUCGUG